GAGACAAGCAUAUGACUACUGGCAGGAUCAACCAGGUAGCGUUCCUUCGCGACGCCGACGCCCGCACGACGCCCCCGCGAGGGCUCGAGACGGGCACGGCAGUCGUUCGCUUUGCUUUGCGUCGAGGGACAAAUCGCGUUGCUCGGGCGAGCAGAGUCUGUUGUGACAGACCCCGCGCCCGCGCACGACGUUCCGCAUCCGAGAGAACGGGCAUAGCGCACCGUGGGCCGAGGCAGCCAAAGCGACUGGGCGAGGCUUGCCGGGAACACGGGGCGUGCCUAACGUCCACCCCACAAUCCGCGAGGGCUGGGGGCGGAGAGGGACGAACGAGACCGUCGGAUUCCUUUCGAUAGGUAAGCAACACAGGAUACCGAA
rnacentral:misc_RNA from 1 species